ACAGCAGUAGCCGCGGGAAUACGUAGGUGGCAAGCGUUGUCCGGAAUUAUUGGGCGUAAAGGGCUCGCAGGCGGUUUCUUAAGUCUGAUGUGAAAGCCCCCGGCUCAACCGGGGAGGGUCAUUGGAAACUGGGAAACUUGAGUGCAGAAGAGGAGAGUGGAAUUCCACGUGUAGCGGUGAAAUGCGUAGAGAUGUGGAGGAACACCAGUGGCGAAGGCGACUCUCUGGUCUGUAACUGACGCUGAGGAGCGAAAGCGUGGGGAGCGAACAGGAUUAGAGACCCGAGUAGUCCCUGUCUCUUAUAC
rnacentral:rRNA from 1 species